GACAACUCCUAAAUUCUGGAUCCACCACUGCACCACUAUAUCUUAUAGUAACCACUUUCUUGAUAAUCGAGAGAUCCUCGAGGACCACUGGUACAUGGUUCAAAACUCGAUGGAUAAUGAAUCUGUCCCUCUAUCCUUCUCCGCUUAGCAACAAGUUUUUGUUUACCGCAAGGUUCAAACACAUGAUGUGUAUCUAAUCAACACAUUUCAGAUUCGCAUCGGAAAGUCUUUUUAGGAGACAAAGAACACCCUACUACUAAAGGCGAGUUUAUAUCUAGGGGUCAAAUCCGAGAUUUUUGAGUUAUAAAAAAUAAUAAUAUUUUUUUUUUUUUUUUUUUUUUUUUUUUUUUUUUUUUUUUUUUUUUUUUUUUUUUUUUUUUUUUUUUUUUUUUUUUUUUUAAGUAACAUAACUUAAGAAACCCAUUUAAUAUCAGGUGUCUCUUUAAGUUCUCUAGGAGAAAGAGCCAAUGGUGCUGAUUGAAAUGCUCCUGGUGAUUUAUAUUCUUUCAUCUGCCAAAAAAGAAAAAAAUUAAAAAAAAUUGGUGAUUACACAAACAAGAUAAUUAGUUCUAUUCAUUAAAAAAAAUCGAUUCAAUAUAUUUCUUAUAACGACUAUGGUCAAUUGAGUAGUAGAAAACAUAUAAGACGAAUAUCAACAACCAGUGGCGGAUCUACCCUUUGUCGAGGAGGUUCGUCCGAAUCCCAUUCGGUAAAUUAUGUUAUAUAUGCAUGGUUAAAAUUAUUUUUUAUGUACAUAUAUUAGAUGUUGAACCCCCUUCGGUUAGUUCGUACGUUUACUUAUGAACCUCCUUAGUAAAUAUCUUGACUCCGCUACUGUCAACAACAAUACAUUCAGUGUACUCCCACAACGUGGGGUUUGGAGAGGGUAAAGUAUAUGUAGUCUAUACCACUACCUUAGCUAAAGUAGAGAGGUUGUUUUCAAUAGACCCUCGGUUUAGGACAGAAGAUGAAUAUCAAUAACAACAAUAAUAUACACAGUGUAUUCUCACAAAGCAGUGUCUGAGGAGGGUAAAGUGUACGCAGUCCAUACCACCACCUUAGAUGAAGUAGAGAGUCUGUUUCUAAUAGAUCCUCGACUCAAGACAGAAGAUGAAUAUCAACAACAACAACAACAACAUACCCAAAGUAUUCCCGCAAAGUGGGGUCUCGAAAGGGUAAAGAAUAGGUAGUCCAUACCAUUACCUUAGAUGAAGUAGAGAGAUUGUUUCCAAUAGUCCCCCCGACUCAAGACAGAAAAUGAAUAUCAACAACAACAACAAAGAGUAUUCCAACAAAGUGGGUCUAGAGAGAGUAAAGUGUACGCGGUCCACACCACUACCUCAGAUGAAGUAGAAAGGUUGUUUUCGAUAGACCCUCAACUCAAAACAGAAGAUGAAUAUCAACAACAAUAACAACAUACCCAGAAUUUUCAAUAGACCCCCAACUCAUGACAGAUAACAGUAUAACAGUUAACGAAGAGGUAAAAUGAUUACCCAGCUUGGAUUAUCAACUGAUUUACCAUCCCAUCCAACAUGUGCCACAUGUUGCACAUCUGUUGGAAAACCAAUUUGCAUGUCUUUCUUUUUAUCAUCAUCUGCAUAAACGAUUCAGACGAUCAUAACUUAUUCAGAAUUCAGUAUGACGUAAUAAACAUAAAUAAUUCAUAUAGAUGAUCUUAACUUAUUCAAAAUCGAAUAUAACGUAAUAAGUAUAAAUGAUUUAUAUAGACGAUCUUAACUUAUUCAGAAUCGAGUAUAACGUAAUAAACAUAAAUGAUUCAUAUAUGCGAUCUUAACUUAUUCAGAAUCGAGUAUGACAUAAUAAACAUAAAUGAUUCAUAUAGACGAUCUUAACUUAUUCAUAAUAGAGUAGAACAUAAUAAACAUAAAUAAUUCAUAUAGACGAUCUUAACUUAUUCAAAAUCAAGUACAACAUAAUAAACAUAAAUGAUUCAUAUAGACGAUCUUAACUUAUUCAGAAUCGAAUAUAACGUAAUAAACAUAAAUGAUCCAUAUAGACGUCUUAACUUAUUCAGAAUCUAGUAUAGUGUAAUAAACAUAAAUGAUUCAUAUAGAUGAUCUUAACUUAUUCAGAAUCGAGUCAUAUUUGAUUGCUAAAUCAUCCAACUUAGUGACAUUCUCAUUCAUUUUCAAGAAACUAAAAAUACCCACAAAGGAAAAUGUCAAAUGACCAAAGUUGGUACAUUUAAAAAUCAUUUACUUACCAAAAACAUGAGAAAUGUACCUAAGGCCUUUAAGAAGGCCUUUCACCUUUGUUGGCAUGAAAAUAAUCAAUCAAAAAGUUCGAGUUUGAGCUCUCGGUAUGGAGAAAAUAGAAAAUUUUGUUGGAGCGUCACCCCCAGAAUGAGCCCUACAACGUUAAUGCGUAUUCUGAGAUGAUCGGGACUCCAAUGCAGGUUCUGGACACCAGAAGAAAAAAAUCAAGAAUAUGAUAUUUUCAUCCAAAAUCAUUCAUUUGCUUAUUAUAUGUAGAAACUCAAAGAUUUCAAGGGAACAAAUAUGUUUGAUGAAUUUGGAAUUGAAUUAAAACAUUUCAAGAAAUUAAUUAAAAUGGAUUCAAACCCUUAACAUAGAAAUUUAGGUUUGACUCAUCUUUAAUCAUCACAAAGAAAAAAAGAUGUUAAACCAACAUUUUCAUUAAUUCAAUGGCAAUGAAUUGCAAGUCAUUCUUAACCAUAAGCUUAGCAUAAUUUUAGGAAUGGAAAUUCAUUCUUUUUUAAAUAAAAUCUUUUAGUUAAUUAUUUAUUAAUUUAAGGAGAUUCUUUUAAAUAUUUUAUUUAAGAAUAUAAUCUGUCUUCUGACUUUUUUAUAGUUGACAACUAUUUGAAGAAUAAGAUGAUGGCCAUUACAAUGUGAUUGUAACACUUUCUUAUUUAUACACAUUUUUUAUAGGUAGCUACUAUACUAACAUAUUCAGUGUAAUUUCAUCGUGAAAUCUGAGAAGAAUAGAGUAUUUUAUGCAAAUUUUACUAUUACCUCAAAGGUGAAGUAGAGAGGUUAUUUUCGAUAUACCCUCGGCUCAAGAAAAAGAAGUUUAAAAAAUGACGUAAUGAAAAUCCAAAAGACAAUAGAUAGUAACAGAACAUCAAAUAGUAGCAGAAUGGUACUACAAUAAAGUAAUGUUAUAUUCAAACUACCCAAAACAAUAGAAAAUAACAUAAACACUCUAGUAAGCAGUGGCGGACCCAGGAUUUAGAAGUCAUGGGUGCUCAUGAGGUUCGAGCACACAUAUUGAUGCCCAAAGGUUUAAGGUUCUGCCUAAAAACCAAAGCACCCAGCUAUCUUCUUGAUUUCCUAGGUGCUUUUUUGAAGCUUAUACCAAUUUUUAUACUUUUUAUAUAAUUAUACGUAGCCUACGUCGGAUUUAAUGGGUAUCGGAGCACCAAAAAAUUGUAUAUAGGUCCGCCCUGCAAGUAAGGGCAACAAGACGAUGUACUCCUACCUAAUCGUAUGAACGUACUUCUACCUAUUAACCUUCUGCAUGUCUUAAUUCGUGUCUUCCAUAUUCUUCCUAUCUAAGGUCAUGUCCUCGGUAAGCUGUAACAACGUCAUGUCAUGUGUAAUCACCUCUUCGGAAUCCAUUCAUAGACAACCUUUCACACCUCCGCACUAGGACGUCCAUGUAUUUCCUCAUCUCAUGUCCGAACCAUCUCAACCUCACAGCCUGCACCUUAUUUCCACCGAAGUUCAUACUAACAACUUGUCUCGGAUAUCCUCAUUUUUAAUCUUAUCUCUCCUAAUAUAUCUACACAUCCAUCACAACAUUUUUAUCUUCGCCGCUUUCAUCUACUGAAUGUUACAUGUUGUAAAACUUUUUUAAAAAUAGAAACAAAAUAUUUGCAUAAAUCAACCACUUUUUGCAUAAAUAUGAACUUUAUUGCUAUUUUAAAGACGUGCAAAAUGAUUUUUUUUCCCUUCUGACAAAUAUUGUUUUGUUAAUUGCUUGAAUGAUUCUCUUUCUAGAAGGGAAGCUUGAAGCGACGAUAAAAUUAUUUCAGUGUGACGUAUAAAUCACAAGUUUGAGACGUGAAAACAAUCACCAAAGUUUGCAUUGUUAGGGUUUUUGUCCUGAUUUUCUUACUAUAUUUAAGUUUUAUUUUUUCUUAGAAGGAAAAUAAAAGUUACCAUAAUUACUUUUACUUUUUUCUGAAAGAAAAAAAUAUAAUUUUUUUUCAUAUUUGGCUAACUUCUUUCUUGGAGGAAAGAUUUUGGACAUCUAUAAAUAGUAGUUUUUAGGUUUUUCAAUUUUAUUUUUAAUAUGUUAGUCGUUUGACCAAACCAUAUUCAAUAAUAUGUUUUUACUAUAUUUUUGUGUCAUCUGAUUUUACUAAAAGCUUCCACAUGACGCCCUCUCGAUUUCAAACCCAAUGCAUUAGAAUAGCUGUUACAUCACAUCAUAUAUAAAGGAGUCUUUCGAGCAGAACUCCAAUAGUGUAUAUUUAUUUUAUAAUUAUCUUUCUCGUUUUUCUUUUCUUUGUUGAUUCCUCUCAAUGAAAUUUUCCACGUUGCACUAAGUUACUAACGAAUAUCAGCCCUUCCCCAAACUCUGUGAACGUAAAGUACUUUGUACACCGAACUGUCCUUUUAAUGAUUAUAACCAUCUAAUGGUGAAUGAUUUAAAAGGUAGUGCUUUAAACUAAAGCUCCCGCUAUGUGCAGGAUCCGAGGAAGGACCCUACCACAAGGGUGUCUUGUACGCAGUCUUAUCUUACAUUUCUGCCAGAGGUUGUUUCCAAGGCUUGAACCCGCGGCCUCCAUAAUUAUAUAGGGAUACAAAAUUGUAAAAAUAAGAUAAAAUGAAACAUAUAAUUUGGUGUUCCAAUAUUUUUCAUAUUGAGGAAUGUGAUUCGAAGUAUUACAACCAUAACACAUCAUGUACAUCUCAGAGCAAGAGGAAUAUGUACAAUUUCUUUUUUUUUUUCUUUGUAGAAAUGGAAACAAUUAUACACCAAAUGCAAGAGGAAAAACCACUCAUCAAUGAAAGAAUGAACAUAUAAAGUACAACAAAACCAUUGGAGCACAAAGUGUAAUUAGUGCAGUGUGGAAUAGCAACUCCACCCCGCCCAUGGAUCCGGCAGCAGUUCGAAAGGUUGCCCUAUUCAGAAAUCACCGGAUCUAUGCUCAUCAUCAACUCCCUCAAGCAUUUCGCCGAUUACCACGCCUCUUCUAGGCUCUUUUCACCUGUAUUAAGCAGCUUAUAAGCCAACUAAUAUGGUUGAUAUCAUGCUCAUGCAGCAAAACAAAGUCCCCCGGGGAGUGGGGGCGGAGGGGGUUCUUUCUUGAGUUCAACGGACAAAGUAAAACAACUCAUUUUAGCAUUAAGUCACUUGCAAGAUAACUAUAGGUAAAAAAGGGCAUACCGGCGCACUAAAGCUCCCGUUAUGCGCAUGGUCCGGGGAAGGACCACACCACAAGGGUGUACUGUACGCAACCUUACUAUAGGUAAAAGAACUUACUUUAGUAAAAGAAUUUAAUUUAGUAUUAAGUCACGAGAUAACUAUCGGUACCAUUCAUAAUAACCGGGAUUAGUAACUUGAAAAAUAAAUCAUAUAACCUAUGACAAUAGGUUAAAACGCUGUCCGUGUAUAUAACUUAAAUCCUUUCUUCUUUUCUUUUUUGGGAUGUGUGCGUUGGGGUUGGAAAGGGAGGGGGUAAAGAGGGGGGUGGGAGAAUAGGGAACAAAGAAACUUGCCUUGCUCAUGUACUUCUUAUGAACCUUUAGAGCCUCCUUUAGUGCUUUCUUUGCAUCCAAAUUCCCGGUUAUCUCGUCCAAGAUCUGGAAAACAUGCAAUUGUCAGGACCAAGAAAAUACAAUAACGCGGAAUAUAUAGACGGGGAGAGAGAUUUUAUGAAGACCUGUACAACAUCGUCUAGGCCUUUCGCCUCUUUCAUAAGCCGUUUUUUCUUCGUCUCAAGAACACUCACAACUAGGAAAACGGCAAGUGCAUCGUCGUGUUUCGUUGCACCAGUUCUCACUAUUCUCCUUUCAUAUUUUCCAUAUUGCUUAAGCUGCGUAUCAUUUAACUUAUCGGGAAGUUGUUUCAUUGUCUUGUCGUACAAUGAAUAUAUGUUUGGGUUGUACUCCAUCGCCCACAUCACCUAAAUGAAGUAUGUACAAAGGUAGCACCAAUCAGAAGAUCACAAAAACUCUGUUUACAACAACAUACCGAGUGUUUAUUCCUACAAAGUGGGAUCUAGGGAGGGUAAAGUGUACGGAGUCAAUACCACUACCUCCGAUGAAGUAGAGAGGUUGUUUCCGAUAGACCCCAGGCUCAGGACAGAUAACAAUAUACCAAACAAAAAACAUAAAAAUAAACAACAAAAUGAGAUAAUAUAUCGCUAGAUAAUAAAAGAAACAAGACAUCGAUAGAGUAAUACUAUAAACUAUCUAUUCGAGAUCACAAACAUCAUCCGAACACUACGGACAAGAAACCACAGGCAUAAAUACAAACACAACACUCCUCCCUACUAUUACGGACGCACGCGUCCUCCCCACCUUCCUAUCAAGAGUAAUGUCCUCCGUACGCUGUAGCCGCUCCAUGUCAUGUCUAAUCACCUCCCUCCAAUAUUUUUUCGGCCUACCUCUUUCAUAGUUGAAAAUAUUAAUAUCGCAGUCCUUUCACUGACCUUUAUGUCAAACUAAUUUAGAACCGUUCUUUUGAAACACAAAAAGCAUAGCUUGUGAAGAAUAACAACCAUUUCUCUUAUUAAAUUAGGAAUUUUCCAAUAAAACAACCAUGUCUCUUAAAAGCAAAUGUAGCCAGGCAAAAUGUAAUUGACACCUAAGUUGUGCCGACUCUUCACUUUUCGAUGCCGCACCGCUGUCGGAUUCUCCAAAUAUAUACUACUUUUGGAGAAUCCGACACGCACCGGCUGACAUUUUUGAAGAGUCCAAGCAACAUAGAUUGACACGAGACGCCAAUGAUCAGGACAAACUAUUGUGCAAUGUUUUUUCUAUCCCCCAAACAAUAAUGUGAAAAGAGGUUUGAAC
rnacentral:lncRNA from 1 species